GCCUUUUCUGUAAUUUUUACAGACUUGUUUCUGUAAAACGCCUACAGCGCAGGUCUGUUAUCCUGAUUACAGACACGAGUCUGUUAAUAUUUAAGAAAUACAGAAUUUCGUCCGUAAAUAUGACAUACGGGUGUUUAAAUUAAAGUGACGUCAUCGGUCUUCCUGGGCGCCAUUACUGCGAAGACCGUUAGUUAGCGGCAAAGAGGAAUCCCUCAACAUCGAGCACUAUAGUUGAACACUACAGUCAAUACCAAACAUUGCAGUUUUAGGCACAGCUUAUUGCAUCCUUGAGUGUCAUUCCUGUCAUCUAUAGAGUGGGCUACCCAGCCUUUCUCUGGGUGCAUUUUUGAAAUUAACCCAGAUAACGCACAGAAAUCAUGAAAAAGAGGAAGACUCGAGUGUGCCAAAAAGUGGUAUAACUAAUCACUAAACUGUCAAACUUUAAAUGGACGAAGUACAGUUACAACAAUAGCAACAAUAUACCGGUACUGUGAGAAGGUAUACGACGGUAUAGAUGCCACAUUUUGGUUCAAGGUGCUUUAAAUUCUGGACCACGGUUUGGUUAACAUGGUACAGAUAUUUUAACUGUCCAUUUUCAUCCGAUGCAGAAUACUCCCCUGUAGUUCAUGUGACAAGAAGGAGAAAAGAUGGCUUUCGGCAAUGAAACAUGUGUCCCGCUGAAAGUACAUUCCCCUCCGGCGAACCACAAAUCACGGAUAUAGGAACAUUUUGAAUCAAAAACGUCAGAUGGAAAAGCAGUGGCUAGGGAGCUGGAAACACGUCCAAGAAGAAAUACUGUGAUAUGUAUCGUUGCAACCUAUGAUGCAAUAAUGUUCAUGCAUGCAAACUUUAGGGAUAGGCCUAUUGAGUUUAUGGUUAGUUUUUAUACACCAGCACAUAGUGUGUAUAAAAUAGGUGAUAAGGGACCGAGCCACAACCCUUUUAUGAGUGAUACUUUGUAAAUGAGACUUUAAACGCGCUGCAAGAAAUCUUUUUAAUGAAUCUUCUUAAUUAAACUUGAUCUUCUUAUUGUACUUUUGAUAAGAUGUCCGUUUACUUUAAUGGAAAAAUCUUUUGGUCAUUUAAUUUGUCCAUCAACAAUUUGGUACAUUUGUAAAAUUAUCCUCAGUUCAUUUUGUCUCUAAAUAUGCGGCCGUGUUGCAUAAACAUUAAAAUUGUGUAACUCUCAUCUACACAUUUCAUUUUGGGACUGGUUCAUUAACUUUGUCAGUAGUCGAGUUCCAUCUAAAUUUUUAUCUACGAGACUGAAUCAAUUUAUGCCAUUCUCACUAAGGAAUGUACAUGCUUAGGCAGAGUUAUUGUGGAAAAUUUAAUGAUAUACAUUUUCAAACAGAGAUUAAGCUAAUCAUUGAAACAAGCUGUACAUUUAAGGUGGAAUAAUAGGAAUUCUGCAUUGAUGCUGUUCUUGUUUUAAAGUCAUGAUACUUUUGGGGUUCAAUAAUUGUUAGAUUUUAAAUUGUUCAUUUAAACAUUUAGAAUGCAAAUUCAUUAAUUCCAAAAAUUUGAAUGAUUUCAUUAUUUCAUUAGAUCAUGUUUUACUGUUAUAAUUUACUUUCAUGUUGUUGAUGUUUUAAAUAAUAGAUUUGAGGUAAAUAUUACAACACCUUGGUUAAGAUUUUAGAAAAAGAUUUGAGGAUAAUUCUAUUGUAACACACUGAUUAUAUAUUUGUAGAAUAGAUUCAGAAUGUUGUUGUUCUACUAUAAAAAAAAUUCAUUUGAAUAUUAUAAUGUAAAUGUUACAUGUACAAGAAUUUGAAUGGAUAAUUUCAUUAUUGUUAAAUUUAUAUUUUGUUGCUACCCAUUAUUUGAUACAUCCAUGUCAAUUUUCACAUACAUUUUUUAAUUGCUGGGAAUUUUUGUUUGCUUGUCUUGUGAGAACUUGAUAAAUAUUUUGGAGAGUUAUUUCCCUUGUUAAUAGGGCAACAAAUUCUCUUCUUUUUUUUUAAAGUCGUCACUAUUCCAUGUACAAAUGAAUAUUAUAAUGUAAAUGUUACAUGUACAAGAAUUUGAAUGGAUAAUUUCAUUAUUGUUAAAUUUAUAUUUUGUUGCUACCCAUUAUUUGAUACAUCCAUGUCAAUUUUCACAUACAUUUUUUAAUUGCUGGGAAUUUUUGUUUGCUUGUCUUGUGAGAACUUGAUAAAUAUUUUGGAGAGUUAUUUCCCUUGUUAAUAGGGCAACAAAUUCUCUUCUUUUUUUUUAAAGUCGUCACUAUUCCAUGUACAAAUGUUCAUUAUUAUUAAUGAAGAAUUAUGAAAGGAGCUUUGUUUUUGUUGAAGUAUACCACCAAACUGCUUGACAGCCAAAGAAUAUGUUAGAUCUCUAAACAUUCUCCAUAUUGUAAUAUCAAAUCUGCUCUUGAUCAAAUGUGUUAAAAAUAUGAAUUUGUGGUUGACAGGUUUUUUUUUUUUUAAGGCAGUUGUUAGCUUUACUUACUGACAGUAAUCUCCAAUUUCCAGUAUUUUCAGGUCUUUUAUUAUAUCUUAAACUAUCAUGUAAAAGCAUUUUUGAGGAAUUAAUUGUAUCUUAUAUUGUUUUGAAUAAUUAAAUUCUGUUUUAAAUCUUAAGUAAA